rnacentral:rRNA from 1 species
AGUGAACGCUGGCGGUAGGCCUAACACAUGCAAGUCGAACGGCAGCACAGUAAGAGCUUGCUCUUACGGGUGGCGAGUGGCGGACGGGUGAGGAAUACAUCGGAAUCUACCUUUUCGUGGGGGGUAACGUAGGGAAACUUACGCUAAUACCGCAUACGACCUACGGGUGAAAGCAGGGGAUCUUCGGACCUUGCGCGAUUGAAUGAGCCGAUGUCGGAUUAGCUAGUUGGCGGGGUAAAGGCCCACCAAGGCGACGAUCCGUAGCUGGUCUGAGAGGAUGAUCAGCCACACUGGAACUGAGACACGGUCCAGACUCCUACGGGAGGCAGCAGUGGGGAAUAUUGGACAAUGGGCGCAAGCCUGAUCCAGCCAUACCGCGUGGGUGAAGAAGGCCUUCGGGUUGUAAAGCCCUUUUGUUGGGAAAGAAAAGCAGCAGGUUAAUACCCCGCUGUUCUGACGGUACCCAAAGAAUAAGCACCGGCUAACUUCGUG